CUCUCUUUUGAAAAAUAUAUAUAUACAUACACACAGAUAUAUAUAAAUAAAACUAUUUAGCAAUGAAAAUUGAAUUAACCGAUUCGGCGCUUCGUUUAUACCUCCUUGUAAGCAUAUGUUUUUAUCGUUACUUUACAUAAAUCGUGAUAAAAAUCAUGGUUGUGCAUAGGAGUAUAAAAAAAAAAGUUCUGGAUGGCUUAGUACUUUCGAAAUUUUCCGUAUUUUAAAGCCUUAACCUAUGCCAUUUUCGUCGAGAGAUUUAUAAUUAAUAGAAUUUAAUCUGCUAUGGAUUUACUGCGCGGGCAUUUAGAGAUAAUGAAGAAGGUAGAUUGGGUUAUAAUCAGCUUCGGAAUAAUUACAAAGAGUAACGAUAUUAAUUCCUAAGUGGACUAUAAAGAUAAUGGUUGAGGCUAUCUGGUUCUUCGGUUAAAAGUUACUUGGAAAAAUCUGUGCGAACCUCCUGUUAAGAAUCUUAAUGUUGCAAUGUCACACAUAUACUGGCGUUAUAUGAAUUAUACCUUCUACAAACUAGGUUAUCCAAAAUAUGUUUACUCAUCAUAAAUUUCUCUAAUCAUUCUAAUCAGCAAAGAUAUUAAUCAUUAAAUUCGCAUCGCUUCCAUACUAAAAUUUCAAUAUUCUCUGUCCUUUGCAACUUUCAAAACGCGCGUGUGUGUGUGUGUGUGUGCUAUGGAAGCCAUGCAGAAUGUUAAAAUUCGAACUGCAAGUUUUAUUAAAGUAUAAAAAGUCUUCUAAAUAAGCUUCUCCAACUGAUAUUUGUUGUAUAAUUUUUAUAUUUCCAGUCGAUGCGUGAAGUUCGAGUAGUAUGGAAGCUACAGUAGCAAUUUGGUUUUGUGGAAACUUUCGAAUGGACGGUUUUUAUAAUGAUUCAAAAUUGUAAAAGAACGUCGAAUUUUUAAACAAAUCUCAUUGAAUCGAAAAGAACUCUUGAAACUGAAGUCGUUUUCUGUAUUGGAAAAGUUCCAAUCGGUAAAACUUGCUGACAUUGCUAUGAAUAGAUGUACGGAAUGAUUGAUAAGAUUUCUAAAUAUGGAGACAAACUUUGUUACUACUACUACUACUACUUGCAAGUUUAGUUAAAGAAAACGAUUUUAAUAUUCCUGUAGCAGUUUCUGUUCCAACAAGUAGUGAAGCAGGACCGAUUUUAAAUUAUAUUACGAAACUUUUAAUUAAAUUUAUACCGAACGAUGCACUUUCUCAAAAGUUUUAUAUUUAAAACUAUUGCUUUCUUAAAGGUAGCUUCGGUUCCAAUCAAGAGCCCGAAGGAAGAGAGACAGUUGCGAAUUUAGUAUACCCUCUUAGGAACCAUCAGUUUGAAGCUUCGGAUUUGUUUAUAGUUAUUUCCGCCGGGAUGAAAAUUUUGCCAAAGCUGUCUUGAGACUUUCUGCAUUCUUCCGAUAGUAUAGACAAACAAGCGACUCCUGUCUUAAGUUUCAUCUUUGCCUUCCAGUCGUUGGCUGAAUAAAUAAUGGAACAGUUAGGAUAGCUGCACAAAGUCAUAAAAAUAUAGUUCGUCCCCAAGGAGAGAAGGUGCGAAUGUUAACAAGGCCACCAACGUGCGAUAGGAAGUGAAGUAUAUGAACUGCUCUCUUGAGCAUCCAAUAUAUAACUGAUAUUUAGACGGAUUUAUUGACGUGAAGAAAUAUCUUUUCGUCUUAAUUAUAAAUAAAAUAAUAGAAAAAUCUCAUUAAGUAACCUAAAAUUAUUAAAGACUCUUUUAUAAAACGAAAUUUUUAUCUUGGAAACUGCCAUUUUUUUUUCUGAUUAUUUUUUUUCCUCAUCGCCGAUGCAUCAUGCAAGUAUUUACCAUAUUUACUUCGCCAGGUGACAACUCGUGUUGUGAAAACAUCAGUCACGAGUUGUCGUCAUUUGACGCGAGGAAAUAGCACCCCAUUUUUCUCAUCUUGGAUAAGAAUUAUUCAGGAUGUCAACAGAGAAUAAAUAUGAAUACCACGCGAUAAAAAAUAUUUCUGUACAGGAUGUAACCUGUAUAUAAAAUUACCGUAAAAAAAAAAAAAAUUCUAAAGAUAGCAUUGUACUUUUGUUAUUAUAUAAAUAAAAAUAACCGCAUUUAAAGCGGAAUAUAUAAAAAUUUUUGGAAAAUGCCAUAGGUAAGACACGCGUUAAAGAGAGAGAGAUGUAGUGGAAUCAUUAAUAAUUCUAAGAAGAAAAUUCCGUUUAUGGCAAAUUUUUUUUCUUCUUUUUCAUCCGGUAAAAGGGAAGUGCAUCGUUGUCAACUCUAACGAGACAAUAUAACUGUAAAUACCUCCUCAGUCAACCAUUUAACCUAUUAUUUGGAUGAAGGUAUGCGUUUUCUCAGUGAACAAUGGCCUUGCUAUAAGUUUUCCUCUCUUCGCCACGUUUGUACGAAGAAAUAUCGUUGCAGAUGAGGAUCACCGAUAUCCAUUCUUUGAUUUUUUACAGUUAAAUUAUAUCAAAAAUGGUAUACAAAAUAUCGUAUUAAUAUUAAUAACACAUGAAUUUAUUUAUGAAACACGAAAUGGAGUAUAGGAUCCCUCAUUUCGUGCUGAGUGACAGCAUACUUUAGUAUAUCACUCAACCGUGACUUCGUCUCUAGAAAGAAGAGGAUGUGCCAUUUAUUGCUUGGAUUUUUGUCUUCGGCAGAGAAUACAAAUUUCUUCUUCUUCUUCUUUUUUUUUUUUUUUUCUC
rnacentral:lncRNA from 1 species